GGCAUUGUGGCUCAGUGGAAAGAGCACAGCCUUGGGAGUCAGAGGAUGUGGGUUCCAAUCCCGGCUUUGCCA
rnacentral:tRNA from 1 species